GAUGAACGCUGCGGCGUGCUUAACACAUGCAAGUCGAGCGAGAAACUACAUGCAGACACUUCGGUAGAAGCGAGUAGCGGAAAGCGGCGGACGGGUGAGUAACGCGUAGGCAACCUGCCCUUCACAGAGGUAUAGCCUCGGGAAACCGGGAUUAAAACCACAUAAAAUCAUAGGUUCGCAUGAACCAAAGGUCAAAGAUUUAUCGGUGAAGGAUGGGCCUGCGUUGAUUAGCUGGUUGGUAGGGUAAAAGCCUACCAAGGCGACGAUCAGUAGCCGACCUGAGAGGGUGAUCGGCCACAUUGGAACUGAGACACGGUCCAACUCUACGGGAGCACAUGGGGGAUAUUGCCAAUGGGAAACCCUGAUCAGCAACGCCGCGUGAGGUAUGAAGGCCUUUGGGUUGUAAGCCUCUGUCCUAGGGGAAGAAAAAAAUGACGGUACCCGAGGAGGAAGCCCGGCU
rnacentral:rRNA from 1 species